GACGAACGCUGGCGGCGUGCUUAACACAUGCAAGUCGAACGGAAAGGCCCUGCUUUUGUUGGGUGCUCGAGUGGCGAACGGGUGAGUAACACGUGAGUAACCUGCCCUUGACUUUGGGAUAUCUUCAGGAAACUGGGGCUAAUACCGGAUAGGAGCUCCUGCUGCAUGUUGGGGGUUGGAAAGUUUCGGCGGUUGGGGAUGGACUCGCGGCUUAUCAGCUUGUUGGUGGGGUAGUGGCUUACCAAGGCUUUGACGGGUAGCCGGCCUGAGAGGGUGACCGGCGACAUUGGGACUGAGAUACGGCCCAGACUCCUACGGGAGGCAGCAGUGGGGAAUAUUGCACAAUGGGCGGAAGCCUGAUGCAGCAACGCCGCGUGCGGGAUGACGGCCUUCGGGUUGUAAACCGAUUUCGCCUGUGACGAAGCGUGAGUGACGGUAAUGGGUAAAGAAGCACCGGCUAACUACGUG
rnacentral:rRNA from 1 species